CACAAAAUAUAAUAAAUGAGAGAAUUCUAUCCCGUAUGUUAUUUAUGUUAGGAACGUUGCUUAUAUUAGUCACGGUUACAACGCGAAGUACAAUGCAAGUAUUAAUAAUAUGCAAGUAAUAAAUCCUUUUAGGCCUGAUAUAGUCACUUCUUAUCUUUGUGAACGUAGCUUUGUGUGUACAAUCCUAAACGCAUAUACAUACCGAAGUAGGCCGUCGCCUAUAUUUCGCGAAAUUCUUCGAGAACGUAACAUUCUCUCGCAAACAUCGUAUUUGCACCAAGUUUAACUAUUAAAAGGCGUUUUACAGGCGAACAAAUGCAAUUUCUGAUACGUUGGUAUUCGGGCCUUUCGAUAGCAAACACUUCUUCGCAAACAUGACAUUUGCUACAACCGGUUUUUGCACGGACGACUAUUUACAACAUGCGCAAGUUUUACGAUUACCACCUGCGGAAUACUCUUCGUUUAAUGUAAAAAUAAAAUUUUAAAAAACAUUAAACUGAUCACAACUUAUUGUUAGUAGAGUGUCUCAUUAUUUAAAAAAAUUCUUUUUUUACGACUUGUUUACUUCGUAUGUAAUGUAUGUAACAAUGUAUACGAUAGUUUUUAUUUUACUUUAUGCUAAUUUUAUUACUUUGAUAAAUAAAAAGUUUUAUGUAGAUAUAUUUACUUCUUUAUUUAUUUAUUAUUAGAGUCUAUGUACUUGAACAGAUUUUAUGUAUUUAAGAGAGUUUGAUGACUCAAGGUAAUUAAAAAUAUAAAAUAUAUCAUUGAUCAAAUAUGCCUAUUAAUAUCAAUCGGAUUUAAAGUCCACGCCGAUUGUGCGAGAUAAGACUGACAAGAAAAAGGCGUACAAACAUAUAGGCAACAUUGGCAAAUUCCGUUAUCAACUGAUUAUCAUUGUUGCAAACAAUGUUGCACUAGUUGUAUAAGAAAUAAGUUGCAAACUCUUCACUGACCUAUUGUAAAUAGUUAUUUUGAAACGGACAAUCGAUUUGUCUCAUUCUAUACGUAUAUAAAUAAAGUCCUAUCAUUUUUGUGAGCAAAUAUCGACUGAUAUGUAUAUAACAAAGUUCUAUUAAUUUCGUAUAGGAUUAUUUUCGUAGAUAGUUUUUAAUUAAUAACAGAUACGUCAACGGUUAAAAAUGGUAACUUUUCAAAUAUAAUUUUUCAGAUUUUACGAAGAAUAUUUUAAAUAUCUUUAUUUAUGAAAUUUAACUUUAUUUUUAAAUUCCACCGCAUUUACGUGGCUAUUCUUGCAUUAUAAAAUUGUUUACAUAAAGUAAACAAAACUGAUCGUGGACGGUUACUCUAACUUUAUCUUAUUUUCUUCGUAAAUAAACUUUCUUUUAUAAUUCAGUUUUAUUCGAUGCUACUUGUCAAACUGCAAUUGUCAUUGAUGUUCAUGAUAUGCACGAUCGUGAAUAAAUUAAAUAUUUCCAUAGUCAUUGUCAAUUAGCAUAGAGAAAGAAACUUUGCUGAGAAAUAUUUAUAUUUAAUUGCAAUUUAUUUAUAUUAAUAUCGCGAUUUUUAUUUUACAGAUCGUAAUGAAGGCGAGGUCAUCUGAGAAAUUUUUCCUUUCCGUAUUAGUACACAUGCUCCUUCUUAAUACGACACAGUAUACGAUGGCUGGGCUACAAUGUGGCUGAUACAACGUUCUUAGAAGCAGUCAGCGUGACCGAGUAUCAUCAAACCACGUUCUCAGUCGCCAUCCAUCUUGCUUGACGCAGUAAUCCAAAAAUAUUCAAUCAGUUUCAAGGACGAUACGCGACGCAGCGGGACAUUGUUGCGACGGCGAAUGCCACUUCCGAAUUCCGAGCGCGAUUUUACGCGACAGCAAAUAAACGCGACUCGAGCCGAGCGACAGCGCGGGCAGGUAAGCGGAUUUGCAGAACCGCCGCCGUCGCAGACCCCGAGCUACAACGAAGCUUUGCAAAAAUCACGGGCGGUAGCUACUCUCGCAAGCCGGUUGCGAGAGCAGUACCCUCGGUCAGGGUCGGCGAGUGUAAGCAACCACGAGGAUAGAUCAACGUCGAUGUCGCCUCAUGUGUCGCCGGCACUAAAAGCCGGGCGAUAAGCGUGAUAUUAAGCGCGUCGUCGUCGUCGUUGUCGUUGGGAACAGAUUAUCAGGGCGUAGGAAUACAACGAUGAUAACGCGGCCCACUGUAAUAUCAGUUUCGCGGUCCGCGAGACAACUAUUCUAAACUCGAGUGCGGCGAAAAACCGCAACGGAAAUAGUCGUGAUACAAUGAACGUGGUAAGCCGAUAUUCAGAUCGGACCUGAUUCAAACAUAAGCGCGCGGUAACUAAAUCGACCGGGCAAAUGGAAUUUAAACGGCUGCGCAUAUCGGAUCGACUCGCUAGAGAAUCGACGGACUCGAAAAUCCUCUCAAGCCGGUUCCCAACGACUCGUUUGCUCGGCCAGACUUCGUGGCAGACUUCGAGAGUCUUCGCAAGAGCGUGUGACGAAUAAUGGUAACGAUUAACGCAGACGAAGGAGGAAAAAUCAUAACGUUGCAUCCUCUUUUUUUUUAAUAUAAUAACAGCGAUCACGGUGCAUUGCCGCUUGUUAAUGACGAACUCGACGAACUUCCAGGCAAAAGUGCAAAUUGGAUUAAUAAUCACGAUUGAUUAAAAUUGUUACUGAUGACGCGACAUAUCUCUCUCGCUCACAUUGCACUUUCCAUUACGUGAGAAAUGGCACGAUAAAUCUAUUACAUAAGUGCAAACAUUUCGCAUAGAUGAAUCAUUUAGAGGCUGUUUUUUUUUUUUUUUAAUGAUGGCUCGCUGCACGGUUCGAAUCUCAUGCCGAGGUAGGCGAAUUCUUGAACACGCGAUUUCACAGUUGUAAUCUGAGUAGCUGCAAUUUCUAUUGCAAGAUAACGCCGCAACGAAGCAACGUUGCAACUGUUUCCUCCUCGAUUCAUCGCGCAUAAUCAAAGCUUUUUUUUAUUUGUAUAUAUUUGCUGCGGAAUAUUUACUGGCCGUUAUAGUUAUGAACAUUUUGCGUUUUAUCACGUUAUAUUAUCACGAAAUAGCGAGCUGAAGUAUUCUUCAAAUGCUUUCUUUGCAUUGCUUUUAAAGGAGAAUCUUAAAAAUAAUCACAAAGAUAUUUUUUCAUUUCACCGAAAUUAUUAUAUGUAAUUAAUGUGCUCUUUAACGUAAAUUGUAGCAAUCAUUUUCGAUGGGAUUUAUUAGUUGGAAAAUAAAAAUACAAGAGAGACAAGUGAGCACAGAUACAUAACUGUGUUAUGGCAAAUGGAAAAUUGCAUCCACUUAUCGCCACUUGUUAUAUUCUUCAACUCUUUGGAAAUGCUGUUAAACGAGAUUAAAUAUUGGAUGCUGCGAUGAUAUUCGCUAACGAUUUUCGCUGCGGGCGAUAAUUGACGCGACCGUUACCGAUACACUAUCUCCCUUUCUCCUUCCUCCCUUUCCCCUAACAUCGUCAUAAAUCUCUGCGAUGCGUGCAUGCACACGAAUCAAUAAUGCGGCACGCAUCAUCGACGAAUGUGCGCGCCGAAUGUCAACCUGUGGUGGAGAGACGAGAUCGAAACGACACGUCGCCGACGCUCCUUCGGGUGAAUCAAUUUUCGUUUCUAUUAUUACAGGGGCUGACGAGAUGCAACAGCGAAAGAAGGGAGAGAUGACUCACUUUGCCGGGUACACGUGCGCGCGCGUGUAUGUGUGUGUGUGCGCGCACGUGCGCGCUCUCGGUUCCGCGCUCAGCGAAGAGAUGAAGGCGUGAGUCGCACCGCUGCAACGAUCACUGGCUGCAAUCACCGCGUCUCUCCUUCAUUACUCAUCGCCUAAGUGAAUGAUGCAAAUCAUGUUCCGGGUAAACAGUCGCGUUUACAUGCGUGCGCGUCCACGCGCGCGCAAGAGAGAGAGAGAGAGAGAAACGUUGCAUCUCACGUUUACGUUAAACGCGUAUGCGUUUCUCUUUUUCCUUGCGUCGGCGUAGGACAGCGGUUCCCAAUCCGCCUCGACUCUCGCGAAUUCCUUCGCAAUACGUUUGUGACGGUGGUAUCAAUUCUGUAUCGAAAAUGAAAAAAAAGACUAGUUUCCGAAAGAUCUCGCUGAGGUUUUUGACUUUAUUCUUAUUAUCUGGUAAAAAUUCGUAUCUCGAAAAAAAAAAA